ensembl:lncRNA
GUAGGAGCUGUGUGAGGCUACUAAAGGCAGUGGAUCCCUCAGCAGCUGGAUUACAAAGAGCACAGUCUCAGAUCAACACAGCCCUGCCUUCCAGCACUAUCAGUAGCAGAAGCAGCAGAAACCCCUCAACAGCAACAUUGUACCCAUCAGAGUGAGCUCCUGGAGAGAGGAGAUCUCCUGCAAAGAUGUAACAGCCUCCCCACCUGUUAGAGAGCCCUGCAGUUGGGCAGAUGUACCAGAGGUCCCCCGCACCAGGGCUGAGCCCCCAUGCACCCACCCGCCCACCACCCCUGCGACACAACAACCAGGACCCAAGGCCCCAAGGCCCAGCCAGAGCCUCAGCCCGGGGGCGGAGCACCCCCAGACCCCCAUGCCUCCAUGCCCGUCCCGGACCCACCCUGGGGCAGCCAUACUACCAGGCCAGUAACCAACGUCCGCCAGCACAGACCCUCCCCCAUCUCCGCUGUACGCAGUCACAAGGAAAACACCAUCUAAGAGCCACUAGAGCCCCUAACCAGGUCAUGACCACAACCCCCGCAUUAGGUCCUCCAGGGAAAACGUUC